CGUAGGUGGCAAGCGUUAUCCGGAAUUAUUGGGCGUAAAGCGCGCGUAGGCGGUCUGUUAAGUCUGAUGUGAAAGCCCACGGCUCAACCGUGGAGAGUCAUUGGAAACUGGGAGACUUGAGUGCAGAAGAGGAGAGUGGAAUUCCAUGUGUAGCGGUGAAAUGCGCAGAGAUAUGGAGGAACACCAGUGGCGAAGGCGACUCUCUGGUCUGUGACUGACGCUGAUGUGCGAAAGCGUGGGAUCAAACAGGAUU
rnacentral:rRNA from 1 species